rnacentral:rRNA from 1 species
UACGAAGGGGGCUAGCGUUGCUCGGAAUUACUGGGCGUAAAGCGCACGUAGGCGGAUUGUUAAGUCGGGGGUGAAAUCCUGGAGCUCAACUCCAGAACUGCCUUCGAUACUGGCGAUCUCGAGUUCGGGAGAGGUGAGUGGAACUGCGAGUGUAGAGGUGAAAUUCGUAGGUAUUCGCAAGAACACCAGUGGCGAAGGCGGCUCACUGGCCCGAUACUGACGCUGAGGCACGAAAGCGUGGGGAGCAAACAGG